GCUAGGGUGUCAGCUAAGUGGCGCACGGGUGAGUAAGGUAUAGCUAACGUGCCCCUUGGAGGGGGAUAACGGCUGGAAACGGCCGCUAAUACCCCAUAUUCCUUCACCACACAAGUGGUGUCGGGAAAUGGAUUCCGCCAAGGGAUCGGGCUAUAUGGUAUCAGCUAGUUGGUAGGGUAACGGCCUACCAAGGCUAUGACGCCUAGCUGGUCUGAGAGGAUGAUCAGCCACACUGGAACUGAGACACGGUCCAGACUCCUACGGGAGGCAGCAGUGGGGAAUAUUGCACAAUGGGCGAAAGCCUGAUGCAGCAACGCCGCGUGGAGGAUGACACCCUUCGGGGCGUAAACUCCUUUUAUGAGGGAAGAUAAUGACGGUACCUCAUGAAUAAGCACCGGCUA
rnacentral:rRNA from 1 species